AGUGGCAAACGGGUGAGUAACACGUGGGUGACCUACCGUCGAGUGGGGGAUAACGUCCCGAAAGGGACGCUAAUACCGCAUAACAUCCUGCCUUUGAACAGGCGGAGAUCAAAGCUGGGGAUCGUAAGACCUAGCGCUUGAUGAGGGGCCCGCGUCUGAUUAGCUAGUUGGUGAGGUAACGGCCCACCAAGGCGACGAUCAGUAUCCGGCCUGAGAGGGCGGACGGACACACUGGGACUGAGACACGGCCAGACUCCUACGGGAGGCAGCAGUGGGGAAUUGUUCACAAUGGGCGCAAGCCUGAUGACGCAACGCCGCGUGGAGGAUGAAGGUCUUCGGAUUGUAAACUCCUGUUGGUCGGGACGAAAAGCCUCGACCUAAUACGUCGAGGUCUGAACGGUACCGAGUGAGGAACCCCGGCUAACUCUGUGCCAGCAGCCGCGGUAAUACAGAGGGGCCAAGCGUUGUUCAGAAUUACUGGGCCUAAAGGCCGCGUAGCCGACCUCCUAAAUCGAACGUGAAAUCCCCGACCUCAACUCGGGAAAUGCGUCCGAUACUGACAGGCUUGAAUCCGGGAGAGGGAUGCGGGAUUCCAGGUGUACCGGUGACAUGCGUAGAUAUCUGGAAGUACACCGGUGACGUAUCGCCAUCUCG
rnacentral:rRNA from 1 species